rnacentral:rRNA from 1 species
GAGGGAAAGUUGCAAAGAACUUUGAAGAGAGAGUUCAAGAGGGCGUGAAACCGCUUAGAAGUAAACAGAUGGAACUGACGUAUAGUCUACUGAAUUCAGCGCUGUGAGUUACCUCAACCUUUUGCCUGAUAGAAACACGGGUUUUAAGGAUUUGGUGUGGCCAUAGUGUGCAUUUUCUGUAGAUGUGCAUUGGAACUUGUGUAAAGCGCUAGAUUUAUCACGGUGAGUGCCGGCCGACAAGUUGGUGACCCAUCGCUGUGUCUUACUGAGUUGCUUAUACAAGAAUUUUUACUUGAGAUCCGUUUGAUACUCAUCAGUUUACUGAGUCUUGGUAAAUGAACAGUGGCUUUAUGCAUGCAUGAAUCUGCGAUCCUUGUCUUGAUGAUGUGAAUGGCAUGAGUUGAUCUCAAACUCCAGUGUUUUUGUCAGUGUCCCAUCUGACCCGUCUUGAAACACGGACCAAGGAGUCUAACAUGUGCACGAGUCACUGGGUUGUUAAACCUAUGGGCGCAAUGAAAGUGAAGUCCAGUUUGGCUGGCUAACAUGGGACCUUUUGAUUAUAUCAGAAGAGCACCAUGAUCCCAUCCGUNCUGCAUUGUCAGUUGGAUGGAGAUAGAGUGUACACGUUGGGACCCGAAAGAUGGUGAACUAUGCCUGAGCAGGGUGAAGUCAGAGGAAACUCUGAUGGAAGUCCAUAGCGAUUCUGACGUGCAAAUCGAUCGUCGGACUUGGGUAUAGGGGCGAAAGACUAAUCGAACCAUCUAGUAGCUGGUUCCC